UACGGGGGGGGCAAGCGUUGUUCGGAAUUAUUGGGCGUAAAGAGCUCGUAGGCGGCUUGUCGCGUCGGCUGUGAAAACUCGGGGCUCAACCCCGAGCCUGCAGUCGAUACGGGCAGGCUGGAGUCCGGCAGGGGAGACUGGAAUUCCUGGUGUAGCGGUGGAAUGCGCAGAUAUCAGGAGGAACACCGGUGGCGAAGGCGGGUCUCUGGGCCGAUACUGACGCUGAGGAGCGAAAGCGUGGGGAGCGAACAGG
rnacentral:rRNA from 1 species